GUCCGCGGCGAUUCAUCAUCUUGAUCCAUGGCGCGCGCUGACGGCGGCCCCGGCCGCGCUGACAAGACUAACAAAGCAAUUUGCCACGAGCCAUCUCCUGGACAGUUCCACAGGAUACCUCUGGCUGUCUCUGCCCCAUUCCAUUCCAUCUGACCAUGCUGCUCGGCAACCCUGUGCCCAGACCUAUGCUCAGCUUGUCUAUGGAGAAGCCUGGGGAGGAAAAGGGUUCUGACUUCACCCUGAGUAAAACUGCACCUCCCACCAGAUAUUCCCUCCAGCUGUGAUCACCCUGGAAUCCUGAUGCUUCAUCCCAGUCUCACAGGGCCAAGAUCAAGGCUGAAUUCAUUUUGGAUGCUCAAGCAGCUCUUAUCAUCCAUCCUUUUCAAGCACAGGGUUGGAGAAAGAGAGAAGGGGAUAGAGCCAGAAAGAAAGGAAAGGAACAACAGAGAAAUCUAUAUUUAUUCAACAAAACUCCUAUGGGCUUAGGCCUGUGUUGGGCUCUGUAAACAAAUAAAUGGGGAAAUGCAA